CCUACGGGAGGCAGCAGUAGGGAAUCUUCCGCAAUGGACGAAAGUCUGACGGAGCAACGCCGCGUGAGUGAUGAAGGCUUUCGGGUCGUAAAACUCUGUUGUUAGGGAAGAACAAGUGCUAGUUGAAUAAGCUGGCACCUUGACGGUACCUAACCAGAAAGCCACGGCUAACUACGUGCCAGCAGCCGCGGUAAUACGUAGGUGGCAAGCGUUAUCCGGAAUUAUUGGGCGUAAAGCGCGCGCAGGUGGUUUCUUAAGUCUGAUGUGAAAGCCCACGGCUCAACCGUGGAGGGUCAUUGGAAACUGGGAGACUUGAGUGCAGAAGAGGAAAGUGGAAUUCCAUGUGUAGCGGUGAAAUGCGUAGAGAUAUGGAGGAACACCAGUGGCGAAGGCGACUUUCUGGUCUGUAACUGACACUGAGGCGCGAAAGCGUGGGGAGCAAACAGGAUUAGAUACCCUGGUAGUCCACGCCGUAAACGAUGAGUGCUAAGUGUUAGAGGGUUUCCGCCCUUUAGUGCUGAAGUUAACGCAUUAAGCACUCCGCCUGGGGAGUACGGCCGCAAG
rnacentral:rRNA from 1 species